AGCUAAUUAAUCUAGUGGUAUGAUUCUCGCUUUGGGUGCCAGAGGUCCCGAGUUCGAUUCUCGGAAUGCCCC
rnacentral:tRNA from 1 species